ACCGCCCGUCACACCAUGGGAGUUGGAUUGACCCGAAGACAGUGGGCUAACCGCAAGGAGGCAGCUGGCCACGGUCGGUUCAGCGACUGGGGUG
rnacentral:rRNA from 1 species